AAUCACAUUGAUUCUAAACGCGUUUUACAUCCUUUGCCGUUUCAACCUUCAUUCGCGUUUACGUCCUCUGCCGUUUCAACCUUCAAGAUCAUCUCUUCCGAUCUGUAUUAAUCGCAUUUCAUAGCCCUUCAAUCGCUUCUCUCUUCCCCUUUCGGUUCCUGUUUCGAAUCAGAUAUUGUUCUCUCAUCGCUCCUUCCUCUAUUCCCCUUCAAUCGAAUCUCUCAUGGCCCCUUCCAAUUCCCCUUGAUUCGCAUCUCUCUUCCCCUCUCGGUUCCUGUUUCGAAUCUGUGUAACUGAGAUGUUUAUGGGUGGCAUAGAAUUGAUGACAUGCAAUGUGUGUAAAUCGCCCCUCCCGGCUUCAUUCCUCUCAACGCCACAACGGCGACACCGCAGGCCGAUUCUCUACAUCAGGUACAAUACCUGAUGUUUCGUACAAACCCUAAAUCAGAUUCAGGCACAUGCUCUACAUUAUAUCCUCCAUCAAGGGAGAUUUUGUUCCUUUUUUUUUCCUUGGCUUUGCAGGAUAUGACCCGUGCGUUCUCUUACUGUAAUUCUGUAUGAAUCUUAUAUUUAGCUUAUGUUUCAUUUCUUGAGUAGAAAUUGAAAUUCGCCUCCUAUUCCUACGUUUCUCAUUCAGUUUUUCUCCUUAUAGUCUGUUCAAUUUCAUAUCUAAUCAGAAUGAAGGUGGGAAAUUGCAAUUUGAAAUAAAAAGUUAAAACAAAGUUAAUUAUCGGUAUCAAUUAGUAUCAAUAAGUUCAUAUUCAUAAUUCUAAGCGCCUAUAUAUAUUACUACUUCUGCA